GGCUCAGGACGAACGCUGGCGGCGUGCUUAACACAUGCAAGUCGAGCGGUAAGGCUCCUUCGGGGGUACACGAGCGGCGAACGGGUGAGUAACACGUGAGUAAUCUGCCCUCCACUUCGGGAUAAGCCUCGGAAACGGGGUCUAAUACCGGAUACGACACUCCUUCGCAUGAGGUGGGUGUGGAAAGUUUUUCGGUGGGGGAUGUGCUCGCGGCCUAUCAGCUUGUUGGUGGGGUAAUGGCCUACCAAGGCUUCGACGGGUAGCCGGCCUGAGAGGGUGACCGGCCACACUGGGACUGAGACACGGCCCAGACUCCUACGGGAGGCAGCAGUGGGGAAUAUUGGACAAUGGGCGGAAGCCUGAUCCAGCAACGCCGCGUGAGGGAUGACGGCCUUCGGGUUGUAAACCUC
rnacentral:rRNA from 1 species